rnacentral:tRNA from 1 species
GCGGGGGUACCCAAGCCAGAUGCGCCUGCAGGCUAAGUCAAAGUUUAAGCGGCUAUAGGGGCAGGACUCAGAAUCCUGUCGCGCAGGCGUUCGUGGGUUCAAAUCCCACCCCCCGCACCA